UUGGGUUUAGCUCUGUGGUAAAGCAUGUCCUUAGCAUGCACAAAGCCCUGGUUUCAAUCCCUAGCACCAAAC
rnacentral:tRNA from 1 species